rnacentral:tRNA from 1 species
GGGCCUGUGGCGCAGUUGGUAGCGCGCCUCGUUCGCAAUGAGGAGGUCAGGGGUUCAAUUCCCCUCAGGUCCACAA